ensembl:lncRNA
UGUUUGGUGGCUCAGCCAGGUGUAAUCUUUCAGCCCUAUUGAAUUCUGAGUCCUACUGAAUGCUCCUGAUGAACUCACUUUCCUUCCAUGCAACCUUCAUUUUAUUUCUUUCCCUUUCCCUGCUUUGUGGCAGACCUCACCUCCGUGGCCAACACCCUCAUACCUCCGUCAUAGGAGGACAUUCACAUACACUCUUACAUGUCUGUAUAUGUACAUUUUUCCCAUCAUCAGGCAUCACAGACAGUGAGUUCCAGGGGCAAGUAAUGUCCACCUUUAAUCAAUUUCCACCAAAUUAAUUUCUACAAGUGUUGCGUUAUUACCAGGGAGGAAAUGAACAAAGGGAAAGAAGACAGACAGGAAAUCCCAGGACAUCAGUGCCUGGCUCCAAGAGGCAAACAUAAUUAAUUGUACUGGUUUUAUUUUUUCACCUUCUGCUUGCUCCCAUGUCAAAGCCCAGGUGCCAUCACUGGCAUGUUAAUUAGUUCUGCGUUAGCGAGCAGAGACACCACAAUUGUAGAAGGCAUAGAAUUGCAAACACAAAACUCUGCUGUCCUGGGCAUGCAGGCAAUUAGAUGCCAUAUUUAAGCAACCCUAUUAGUAAUAGAGAGAUCUGAUGAGAAUAAACGUCACAGGCUCCAGACUCACUUGUUCCUUUGGGUUCAUAUCAUAACUUAUUAGUGAUGAUCUCAUGUUAUCUGAGAAUAAUGCAAGGGGGACUUCCCAAUCACUGAAAUGUCAUUGAUUUAAUUUCUGGCUUUUUCCUAAAACCAGGUAGACUAGUGAAAAUGGAGGAAGCAUGGACACUGUGUUAGUAUAAGAAGAUUUACUUGUUUUUUAAUUAGACUUCACAGUCUGUCUUGAUUGAUGAAUUCAUGUAACUUCCUGUUAAAUCUUUUUUCAGCAUGCAUGAAAUAUAAAAAGGGAAAGGUAUUUCUGUAGUCCUCUUCAUCUGCAAGUUUAUCCUCACAUUAACCUCACAAGUUGGAAAAAUAUCAUUUUUGUUAAUAGCUACAGAGCUAGGGGAGCAAGAUUUUCUAUUUAUUUAUUUAUUUGUUUGUUUACUUGAUACUGAUCCUCCAAAGAGUCCCUGACAGGACAAUGAACUGAACCUGCAUUCUGUUUAGUGUUGAUACCUCUGAAACACAAUCCAUUGAUUCCUCCUCACACUGCAGGAGAAAUUCACAAUGGUGCCUUUCCAAUGCACAUACAGAUGAAGUAAAAAACGGUUAGGGAUGGCUUUAAUUAGAUGAUACUUCUUUUGCUUUACACUGGCAAAGAAAGAAAUGUUGAAAUGUGUUUUCGUAAAGUAUGGUUUUAAUUAGAAAAACGGAACUGGCAUACAUGAUAUGAAAAGGGAAUCUUAACCAGCUCCCAGGUUUAUGAAAUGGGUAAAAUAAACUGAGAAUCCUAUUCACACAUUUUAAUAUCUCUGCUCUUCAUGCAACCUACUGAUCAUUCUUCAAAUAAAAAUAUAAUUGAAAAGGAGAAAAUUCUUUCUGUUUUCAUACUGUUGACAGAAUAAAAGGCACAGAGUUUUUAAGACAUCCUAUACUGUAACCCUACAGGCUUUUUCAUGGUGAAGUCUCCCAUCAGUAUGGAAAUGUAAACUUUAAAUUCAUUUUGUUUCUGCAAUGGAAGAAAAGUCAGUCUGGUGGUACUGAGGCUUUAUGAAGAAAUUUAGUAGCUGAAAGCAAAAUGGGAGUGAUAUUAUAUAUGUUCCAAGGAUAAAACAUCUCCUCAGAAAUGAACAGUUCAACCCUUUGAAUAUCCAAGCAAGGGCAUCAGGCAUGGUAUGGAAAUCUAACACUGCAGUGAAAAUGGAGAAAAUGCUAGUGCCAUCUAUUGGCACAAAGUGAUAAAGAUGAAAAGGAAGCUGAGCUCAUAUGCGCAUAUCCAAACAAGGUUAGAGAAGGCUGUUUGUUUUAAUCACGUCGAGUUAAGAUAUUUGUAAAUAUGCAGUUUUAUGUUUAGUCUUUUUAAUGAUGUUGUAUUUUGGGUAAAUAUGUUGACUUUAAAAUUAAUCACCGUUGUAAUCAAGCUGCAGCAAAAGAUGGGGAUUUGAAUGUAAUGGGAAUUAAGAGUCAUUGCUAAGUGGAUAAAUGCUGGCAUACUGUCUAAUGCUCUUAAGCAGGUUUGUAGUGUCGUUGCAGGCUGUAUCCAAGCUAGUCAGCGUGUUUAAAUUUCCAAUGAAAUAAAGAAUUGAGGAAUCU